AACAGUAGUUUUAACUAAACUUAAAAAAAAAAAACAGUAGUUUUAACUCGCAUACACUUUUCUCUCCCCCUCUCUCGCAUGAUUUACUUUAACAGUAACAAUUUUCUCGCUCCCUCAAUCACACGAUUUUCUCACCAUCUCUUAUAGCAACUAUAAUUUCUCAGAAAUCAGAGAAACUUUUCCAAAUCUUCAACCUGCUCUCCAGUCAUCUACGCAAAGAUACAAUUUUUUUUAUGAUUGAAGCACAUCAUGAAGGGGCAAGGUUAAAAUGUCACGAAUGGUGGAAAGCGUAAUGACUAAUGAGAGAAGAAACAAGAUGAAAAGCACGAGAUCAAAUCUGAGAAUGGCAACAUAGACGACGCAUCUGGUGAUGAUCAAGAUACCAAAAUCCCCAAAAAUCAUUCUUCCUUCCACCGCUUCUAUGUGCCGCCGCCAUCGCAUUGCUGUCGCUGCCACUUUUGUCUUCCGCUCUCCAUCGACUUCCGCUUCCAUUCAAGAUAUGUAGAUUAUAUGGACGAGGACAAAGACAACCUAAGGAAUUGGGGUUGUUAUGAACCUCCCCUUAAAGGGCUUGGUCUCCAGCUCAUGUCUUUUCUGGCAGAGCGAGACAGGAAGCCUUUCCUAUCUGGGCGUGACAAUCCUGUAAUGGUUUCACCAAAUGGUGCCUUCCAUCACUGAACCGUUGGUCAGGCACAUGGACUACGACGGUAGGGAUAGCUGGAUAAACCAUAGGGAGAAGUUCUUGAAUAUGUUACCGGGUAACCUUAAAGCUCUGUUCUUGCUAAGUCGAUGCAGAUGAUGUAGCAGCCCCAAAGAGACAAGGUUAAUAACACGAAGUUACUAAAGUUUUGAAUCUUAAUACCACAAAUUAAUGCAUACUGCGUGUCGAAAAAUGCUUUACAUUUGCUCAUUCUCAUUGUAGUCAAUUCGACACUUCGAUAGUUUUUGUUCUAUAUUGGGACAAUUUUUUUCUUGACAAGAUAUGGAUCUUGAUCAUCUUUUGUGAA